ensembl:misc_RNA
AUGGAACAUGCCUGCUAAUGGCUUCAAUCCCCCAGACACAGAGCAAACCAUGCAUAAACAGGGGCAGUACAGUUUCCUCUCGCUGAUCUAUCAAUGUGCCUUAAUGACUUUCUAAAGGAACCACAUUAAAGGGGGAAGCAACUGUUCAGCUAGCCAUGCCUACUCAUUCUUCGGUUUCU